rnacentral:lncRNA from 1 species
CUACAUCUAGAACACGGUCUGGGACUGCGUAGGAGCCCAACAAACACACUUAGCAAAUGUGUGAGCAUGGAGUUGGGGCUUUGUGUAGGUUUUAAGUGAUCACAUUAAAGAGUGAGAGAGCCAGCAUGCCAUGAAAAGAUAGUGGUAACCAGCAAAGGGGAGUGGUAUUUUAAUUGCAGGAUCAGCAGCAUCAGCAACACCUGGGCACCUGUUAGAAAUGCGGAAACCCAAGGCCCAGCCCAGACCCAUCAAACCAGAAUCUGCCUUGUGUCUGCUGUACCUCCCAGCACCUCAACCUCCAAUAUUCAGCCUAAGCUGCCGCCAUCACCACCACCACCUCAGCCUUCCAGUGUGCUCAGUGUCUUCCCGAUUCUGUGACUGGAAGGAAGGUAAGGAACAAAUGAAGCAAGUGUCUGGAGAAGACGGUUUCAGAUACAGAAAGCAGCAGACGCAAAUCUCUGAGCAGGACCUUGUUCAUGGAUGCCAGAACAUGCUGGAGUCUCUAGUAGCUGGAGAAGAGCCUGUGGGUAUGUGGGGAAAGUGGACAACGUAAAGGAUGCAGCAGGAUUAAAGAGAUAACAGGUUGCCUCUUCACUCUGUUGAUUAUUUCCUUUGCUGCGCAGAAGCUUUUUCCUUUGAGAAAUCAACGUUGCAGAUUGCCGUGGUGUUUUUCCUAGAUCUCCCAACGAGACGGAGAGCCCCAGUUGUCUAGUUUCUGAGAAAGUUGAUGGAUGACAAUUUUAAUCGAAGUCCUUCUCCAGGAACUGUCGUCAGGCCCCUCUCCAGGGCAGUCUGUAGCCCAUAAGUGUUUGAGCACAAUAUUUGCUUUAUCACAAAAUGUUCAGCAUAAUUUUUCUCCCUCCCACACUGGAAGAAUUUUAAAACUGAUAAUAGCCAAGAACAGAAUGGCUCUUGAAACAGAGCUGGAGAUCCAUAUAAGGUA